UUGGCUGCUUAUUUUCCCAUCGAGAGCGUUCCAAUUGUUUACCAAUUAGUUUUAAUUUCAUUGCAGGAACUUUCAUUAGCUGUAACAAACUAAUGUGUGGCAGGGUACUGUUAGCUUAUUGCGAGAAAAGCGGUUGGAUUGUGCUUGGAUAAACUCAGAUCAUCUCACAACAAUUGUAAUUCUUUUUUUAUCUGAAUUCAAGGAAAGUAAUAUUCUUAAGGCACUGCAGGAUUAAAUGAUCUAUAAAAAUAGACUUUUCUUCUGUUUGUCUGGUGCCUGCAUUACCUUUGCUUCGGUCUCUCUCCGCCCACCAUACAGUAUGGCCAAGUAUACCCUCACCCUUGAUGCUAAACCACCUACAGUACUAUAGGCGCAAACACCCCUAUCCUCAUGCAUGCAGGAGGAACGCAGCGUAAACCACAGGGAAACCACGGGUCCCGGUCCAAUAGGGCAUCGCAGGGUGGGCUCCAGACCCGGCGGUGUGUGGCGUCUACCCAUGUGAGGGCACUCGUGCUACUCCACUUCCGCGGACCAUCAGAGACGUCCGGGCCUGUUUUGACUGAUUGGCGUUUGGCGUGGGAAGAUAAAAGAGCUGCCGGAACGACUACAGCGAUCAGGAAAGUGUUCUUCAUAGAGAAAAGAACCGUAUUUCCCCGCAGAUGUUUUUCAGGACAAGAUUAACUUUGUUUUUGCUUCUGCCAGUUUUCCGAAUCUCUUCUGAUACCUCAGUUAAUAAUAUAAUGUUUGGUGAGCCAGGGAUACAUUUGCAGAUGGGAGAAAAUGACUGUACCUAAGGUUUUAAGCAUAGAAUAUGGAUUAAAGGACGUGUGUUCUCUUCUGUUCUGUUUUAUCAUUACUUUUCUACUGAUAUAUUUAAAACAAACCAAUGCCAAACUUCUUUGUGGGUCUUUUAUGUUUCUCAAAGAACGUGUCUACGCGUCAACCUCCGUGAGGUGGAUAUUUACAGUAUGCCCUAUACUGUAGAUAUUUACGCUGCGCAUGGCUGCAGUGAUGAAGGCUGCAUCCUCAUCCUCAAUAAGACUGAGCUCAUUAAUAACAUAAAUCUGUGCCUUUAACCUGAGCAAGGAACAGAUACAGGCACAUCAGUGCAACCUUUAGGGUACGUUGGCUCUCCUUCAUGAGACCUGAGCAGACGUGAGCCUGAUAAUUCACUGACCCGCUCGGUCGACCCGAAACACACUAAUCAUAUUUGCACAAACAUAAGCACUUUAACUUUAUUCAGAUAUGCAAAUGAGACUUGAUACCGGUGCAAGUCAAACUCUGAGAAGUUUUUUUUUUUUUUUUU